rnacentral:rRNA from 1 species
GACGUAGGGCGCGAGCGUUGUCCGGAUUUAUUGGGCGUAAAGAGCUCGUAGGCGGCUUGUCGCGUCGUCCGUGAAAACUUGGGGCUCAACCCCAAGCUUGCGGUCGAUACGGGCAGGCUCGAGUUCGGUAGGGGAGACUGGAAUUCCUGGUGUAGCGGUGAAAUGCGCAGAUAUCAGGAGGAACACCGGUGGCGAAGGCGGGUCUCUGGGCCGAUACUGACGCUGAGGAGCGAAAGCGUGGGAGCGAACAGG